UAUUAAAAAUUUCAUCUAUUUGUACUAUUAAAAACUGGCGUAGGUAACGGGAUAACCAGACAAUAAUUUGUGGCAUGCCACAUGUACAUCAUGCUGACAUAGAGGGAUCUGUUUUUAACAAUAGAAAUGGUGAAAUUUUUAAUU
rfam:Gossypium raimondii Chr04_contig_37, whole genome shotgun sequence.